UACGUAGGGGGCAAGCGUUGUCCGGAGUUAUUGGGCGUAAAGGGUGCGUAGGCGGUGUGGUAAGUUUCUACUGAAAGCUCCCGGCUUAACUGGGAGAGUGGUAGGGAGACUGCCAGGCUGGAGAGCAGGAGAGGCAAGUGGAAUUCCCGGUGUAGUGGUGAAAUGCGUAGAGAUCGGGAAGAACACCAGCGGCGAAGGCGGCUUGCUGGCCUGUGUCUGACGCUGAGGGACGAAAGCUAGGGGAGCAAACAGG
rnacentral:rRNA from 1 species